rnacentral:rRNA from 1 species
GUACACUCCUACGGGAGGCAGCAGUGGGGAAUUUUGGACAAUGGGCGAAAGCCUGAUCCAGCAAUGCCGCGUGAGUGAAGAAGGCCUUCGGGUUGUAAAGCUCUUUUGUCAGGGAAGAAACGGUGAAAGCUAAUAUCUUUUGCUAAUGACGGUACCUGAAGAAUAAGCACCGGCUAACUACGUGCCAGCAGCCGCGGUAAUACGUAGGGUGCAAGCGUUAAUCGGAAUUACUGGGCGUAAAGCGUGCGCAGGCGGUUUUGUAAGUCUGAUGUGAAAUCCCCGGGCUCAACCUGGGAAUUGCAUUGGAGACUGCAAGGCUAGAAUCUGGCAGAGGGGGGUAGAAUUCCACGUGUAGCAGUGAAAUGCGUAGAUAUGUGGAGGAACACCGAUGGCGAAGGCAGCCCCCUGGGUCAAGAUUGACGCUCAUGCACGAAAGCGUGGGGAGCAAACAGGAUUAGAAACCCUAGUAGUCCCAUG